rnacentral:sRNA from 1 species
CCUUUCAUGUCAAGAUGUAUUAAAAAAGCACAUGAGUGCAAACUCAGAAGCUAUAACAUCUUUGAUACUAGAGGUGCUGAAGAACUGCGAGUUGGACACAAAAAAAUUGACAGGACUUGUAACAGAUGGACUGUCAGUCAUGAAAGAUGUCAUCAGCUUUUCUGCAAUUAACCCUGCAGUAAAAAUGACCAAGGACAAGAUAAAAGAAAUACAAGAAACAGAGGAGCCUUUGGAAAGUUAA